rnacentral:rRNA from 1 species
UUACGAAGAUUGCCUCAGUAGCGGCGAGCGAACCGGCAACAGCCCAAACUGAAAAUCUCUGCCCAUCAGGGCGCUGAGAAUUGUAGUCUAAAGAUCAUUGCCUGGAAGGGGACGAAGUGAGUUGGAACACUCCGCCAAGGAAGGUGAAAGCCCUGUUAACGUCCACACCGCAUAUGGCAAGAUUCGAAGAGUCGAGUUGCUUGGGACUGCAGCUCAAAACGGGAGAUAAGCUUCUUCUAAGGCUAAAUAGCUAUGGGAGACCGAUAGCGAACAAGUACUGCGAAGGAAAGAUGAAACAGAACUUUGAAAUGAGAGUUAACAGACCUGAAACUGUUGAGAAGGAAGCUGAAGACAUCAAUUAUUCGCAGGUGACUAUCCAAAAGGUAGUGUGUGGAGUCACUCUCAAGCAUUCUUGGAGGGCGAAGCACCAUCCGCCGAUUCCCGGUGUUCCGUCGCCUGCGAUACUCAAGGUGGGCUCGGUGGCCUCAUACCCCGCAACACCCGCAAGGACUGUUGGUGGGGAGCCGUGGACGCUGAAGCCGAACCCUUGUGAAAACGAUUUUUCAGUCCCGUCUUGAAACACGGACCAAGGAGUCGAACAAAAGUGCAAGUUUGUUGGUGUAAAACCACGAGCGCAAUGAAAGUGAGCGGUGCGAAGUCUUCGGACCCAGCAUCGGCCGACCAUGAUCGUUUGUGAGAAGGUUCGAGUAUGAGCACUUCUGUUCGGACCCGAAAGAUGGUGAACUAUGCUUGAGUAGGGUGAAGUCAGGGGAAACUCUGAUGGAGGCUCGUAGCGAUACUGACGUGCAAAUCGUUCGUCAAACUUGAGUAUAGGGGCGAAAGACUUAUCGAACUAUCUAGUAGCUGGUUCCCCCCGAAGUUUCUCUCAGGAUAGCAAGGUCUCUAUUGCAGUUUUACCAGGUAGAGCGAAUGAUUAGAGGUUAGGGGAGAGCCUUCUCCUCUGCCUAUUCUCAAACUUCAAAUUGGUAAGAACUCCGCCGCUACUUUAUUGAGCGCGGAGGUAGAAUGCAUGACCUUAGUGGGCCAUUUUGGUAAGCAGGACUGGCGAUGAGGGAUGAACCUAACGCCGAGAUAAGGUGCCAAAGAUACACGCGCAUCAGAUUAAAAGCUGUUGAUUACAUUAAGACAGCAGGACGGUGGCCAUGGAAGUCGGAAUCCGCUAAGGAGUGUGUAACAACUCACCUGCCGAAUGAAUUAGCUCUGAAAAUUGAUGGCGCUCCAGCGUGUGACCGAUACUCGGCCUUUGCUGCGAAAGUUAUGCAGCAAAGUGUAGGGGCGGCGUGGGCGUUGUGUCGAAGCCUUGGGCGUGAGCCUGGGUAGAACAGCGUCUAGUGCAGAUCUUGGUGGUAGUAGCAAUUAUUCAAAUGAGAACUUUGAAGGCCGAAGUGGAGAAGGUUUCCAUGAGAACAGCAAUUGGUCAUGGGUGACUCGGUCCUAAGGCAUUGGGCAUAUCCUUGCAACUGAGCUUUUGCUCGCAGCCAAAAGGGAAUAAGGUACAUAUUCCAUAAGCUGGCCGCGGAUUUUGUACGGUAACGUUUGUGAGCACAGUGACACCAGCGCGUGCCUCUGGAAGGGUUCUCGUCCUUCAUUUAACAGGCAACGACCAUGAAAUCGGGUUAACCGGAGCUAUGGUUGUAAGUUUGGAAGAGCGUCUAUUACCAAGAUGUCAGGUGCGCUCGCGAUGGUCCUUGAAAAACUGUGUGAAAGACUAUUCCGCGCCAGGCCGUACCAAUAACCGCAUCAGGUCCCCCCAAGGUU